rnacentral:rRNA from 1 species
UACGUAGGGUGCAAGCGUUAAUCGGAAUUACUGGGCGUAAAGCGUGCGCAGGCGGUUUUGUAAGUCUGUCGUGAAAGCCCCGGGCUCAACCUGGGAAUUGCGAUGGAGACUGCAAGGCUUGAAUCUGGCAGAGGGGGGUGGAAUUCCACGUGUAGCAGUGAAAUGCGUAGAGAUGUGGAGGAACACCGAUGGCGAAGGCAGCCCCCUGGGCCGAUACUGACGCUCAGGCACGAAAGCGUGGGGAGCAAACAGG